GAUUGACCUUGGGCUAUGAUGACGCUAGCGGGAGGCCUAACACAUGCAAGCCGAGCGGUAGAGUAUCUUCGGAUACUUGAGAGCGGCGUACGGGUGCGGAACACGUGUGCAACCUGCCUUUAUCUGAGGGAUAGCCUUUCGAAAGGGAGAUUAAUACCUCAUAAUAUACUGAUUGGCAUCAAUUGGUAUUGAAAGCUCCGGCGGAUAGAGAUGGGCACGCGCAAGAUUAGAUAGUUGGUGAGGUAACGGCUCACCAAGUCAAUGAUCUUUAGGGGGCCUGAGAGGGUGAUCCCCCACACUGGUACUGAGACACGGACCAGACUCCUACGGGAGGCAGCAGUGAGGAAUAUUGGACAAUGGGUGCAAGCCUGAUCCAGCCAUCCCGCGUGAAGGACGACGGCCCUAUGGGUUGUAAACUUCUUUUGUACAGGGAUAAACCUACCCUCGUGAGGGUAGCUGAAGGUACUGUACGAAUAAGCACCGGCUAACUCCGUGCCAGCCGCCGCGGUAAUUCCCCCUGGCG
rnacentral:rRNA from 1 species